rnacentral:rRNA from 1 species
GGGCUCAACCCNGGGACUGCUUUGGAAACUGUUUUGCUAGAGUGUCGGAGAGGUAAGUGGAAUUCNUAGUGUAGCGGUGAAAUGCGUAGAUAUUAGGAGGAACACCAGUGGCGAAGGCGGCUUACUGGACGAUAACUGACGUUGAGGCUCGAAAGCGUGGGGAGCAAACAGGAUUAGAUACCNUGGUAGUNCACGCCGUAAACGAUGAAUGCUAGGUGUUGGGGGGCAAAGCCCUUCGGUGCCGUCGCAAACGCAAUAAGCAUUCCACCUGGGGAGUACGUUCGCAAGAAUGAAACUCAAAGGAAUUGACGGGGACCCGCACAAGCGGUGGAGCAUGUGGUUUAAUUCGAAGCAACGCGAAGAACCUUACCAAGUCUUGACAUCCCCCUGACCGGUCAGUAAAGUGACCUUUCCUUCGGGACAGGGGAGACAGGUGGUGCAUGGUUGUCGUCAGCUCGUGUCGUGAGAUGUUGGGUUAAGUCCCGCAACGAGCGCAACCCUUAUCCUUAGUAGCCAGCAGGUAAAGCUGGGCACUCUAGGGAGACUGCCAGGGAUAACCUGGAGGAAGGUGGGGAUGACGUCAAAUCAUCAUGCCCCUUAUGAUUUGGGCUACACACGUGCUACAAUGGCGUAAACAAAGGGAAGCGACCCUGCGAAGGCAAGCAAAUCCCAAAAAUAACGUCCCAGUUCGGACUGUAGUCUGCAACCCGACUACACGAAGCUGGAAUCGCUAGUAAUCGCGAAUCAGAAUGUCGCGGUGAAUACGUUCCCGGGUCUUGUACACACCGCCCGUCACACCAUGGGAGUCAGCAACGCCCGAAGUCAGUGACCCAACCGAAAGGAGGGAGCUGCCGAAGGCGGGGCAGGUAACUGGGGUGAAGUCGUAACAAGGUAGAAUCACUAGUGAAUUCGCGGCCGCCUGCAGGUCGACCAUAUGGGAGAGCNCCCAACNC